CCUACGGGAGGCAGCAGUGGGGAAUAUUGGACAAUGGGGGGAACCCUGAUCCAGCCAUGCCGCGUGUGUGAAGAAGGCCCUCGGGUUGUAAAGCACUUUCAGUGAGGAAGAACGCCUGGUGGUUAAUACCCAUCAGGAAAGACAUCACUCACAGAAGAAGCACCGGCUAACUCCGUGCCAGCAGCCGCGGUAAUACGGAGGGUGCGAGCGUUAAUCGGAAUUACUGGGCGUAAAGCACGCGUAGGUGGCUUGAUAAGCCGGUUGUGAAAGCCCCGGGCUCAACCUGGGAACGGCAUCCGGAACUGUCAAGCUAGAGUGCAGGAGAGGAAGGUAGAAUUCCCGGUGUAGCGGUGAAAUGCGUAGAGAUCGGGAGGAAUACCAGUGGCGAAGGCGGCCUUCUGGACUGACACUGACACUGAGGUGCGAAAGCGUGGGUAGCAAACAGGAUUAGAUACCCUAGUAGUC
rnacentral:rRNA from 1 species